UCCCUGGUGGUCCAAUGGUUGAGACUCUGUGCUGCCAAUUCAGAGGGCGCAGGUUCAACCCCUGGUUAGGCAA
rnacentral:tRNA from 1 species